rnacentral:misc_RNA from 1 species
AGAGUAAGAGGCUGGCCAUG